AGCGGCAAUAGAGAAAAAUAGCCAAGAGCUGAAAAACACAUAAGUUGAGCACACAUCUUUACAAUUCUUUGACAAACACUACAGGUUGCACGUGUGUACAUGUGUGUGCAUAAUGUGUGUGUAUGUGUACGUGCACCCCUUUCUGCUAGGUAGGGUGGGUGGUGGUAGGGCAUUGGAGCAUUGUGCUGUAAGUACUGCAUGUGACAGAGUUGUGCUAAAAGGCGAGAGAGAGAGAGAGAGAGAGAGAGAGAGAGAGACGUGUACUAUGUAAACAAGCUGUCAAAAUAGAAAGUGCAGGGACAUUUUUAAACCCUUUGGAGGAUGGAAAAGGUGAGAAAUCACACAGAACGCACAGAGCCGCACUCAAAGUGGUCGAGUAGGGGCGGAGAGAGAGAGAGAGAGUGAGAGAGAGGGAGAGUAAGAGAGAGGGAGUGAGAGACAGAGAGAGGAAGGGAGAGACUGAGAGAGAGGAAGGGAAAGAGAGCGCGCACAAGCGAGAAGUUAACCACACGCGCGUGAGAAUCAGAAAGCGAGAGAGGGUGGGAGGGACUGAGGGGAGCAACAGAGAGAGAAAGAGAGAGAGUGAGAGAGAAACGGUAAGACAUAGACUCAGUGACAGAACCAGAGCAAGGGCGAGGAGGAAGGGACUGUCUCUGUGUGCGCGCGGGGGUGUGUGUGUGUGUGUAUGUGUGUGUGUGUUUGUGAAGGUAAAAGAGAGAGAGAGAGAAACAGAGAGGGAGCGUGGACGUUAGAAGGAAAAGAAAAAAAGCCAAGCGUAAUUAAUUCAGGCUGGAUGGGAGGGACGUUGUUGUCGGUUGCCGUUGCUCCAGUGCCCGCACCGCGCCGCUUGUAGCCGCGGGUUUUCAGAGAGAGCGACAGAGAGCAGGACAAGGCUGCUCUCCGGGAGCCAGACGGCAGACAGGAGCUCUGGCAAGCCCCGAGACCCGCAUCAACGUCUACAGCCCCAUCUCCUUCUCCUCCUCCUCCUCCUCCUCCUCAUGCUCUCCUAGCGGUCCGGCCACAGGCUGUCAGCACGCCACUGAGGUGCACCGCCAGCAGGGAUGGCACGCGGACAAGGCAGGCAUGGCCUGAGCUUCAACUUUUCAUUAGCCGCCAGCCGCCGGGACUAAAACAGCAACACCGCUUAGAUGUGGAAAUGCAGGCUGAACUUCACCUCACUCUGCUGUUUGGGAAUAGAGGCGUGAAGGUGGGAGUCGCUAUUGUGUGUCUGUGUGUGUGUGUGUUUGCUGUACGGCCAGAUUUAUGAUGAGAGAGUCCGUAAUGGAGUCCACACACUUUAAUUUCCUCAAGGCCCCAAGGUGAAAAGAAAUGUCAACGCUUUGACGAAGAUCCUGAAUGGUUUUUCCUGAGCAUUGUUUUUUUUCUUUAAUUGCCGAUAAUAGAAAGAAAGAAAAUAAUUGAAAUAUACCGAUUCCCGACUCUCCUCUUUUCAAACAAAGUAGUAGCCCCCCACUUGUACAGCACCUGCAGAAAAAAAUGUGACGUGCUCAUCCUUCAAGGGUCAAGCUGAAACCGCUUCGACCUCUGUGAUAAUCCAGCAGCAUCGCUGCAGCUGGGACUAGACCUUGACCCUUAUUUAGCUUUUUGUUCCUGGUUUCACACUGCCAGUAGGUAGAAAGAUGUGGGAAGAAAAGUGCAUUUGGUUUGUAGUUUCUUAGCAUUCAUGUUUGAGUCUAUAGGGUUCUAUUUUUAAAGGGACAUGCAUCGACAAAUGACACUCUUUGCUCCUGUACACAUGAGAACACGGUGAAUACUAUUUAUUGAUUUAGCACUUAGGUCAUCUUAGUUACGAAGCCUUAGAAUACAGAUUUGAUGAUUAAAUAUAUGAAUAGACAAAUCAAAAGAUGAAAUGAGAUUGUCUCAAUGUUCUAUAAAUAUUCAAUAUUUUGAAGAAUACUAAUACCGUGUGCUUGUUUCUCCCCGCCUUUACCUUGGUCCUGCUAGUACGCUCCUCCUCCGCCAGACAGCUGUGCUGAUUUAUCUUCCGUUGUUGCGCUUAAUUACGUCUCAUUAAGUAAUCACCGUAUGCAAUGUUUAUUUACUCCACCGUCCCCCUCGGAGUCACAGGCUGGCCAUAAACACAGACUGGGCUUCCUAUAUACUAU